CCCAAAUUAAACCUAGCCGCCUCCCUCCCUCCCCUUCCCCAGGGUGCCUCUCGGCCGUUCACCCACGAGCAGGGCCUUCAUCGCCGGCGAGUAGUGGCUGCUGAUGAUGCAGCCAAGAUGUGUUUGAGCCAACUCCCUGACGUGGAGGUUUCUCGAAGAGCCGACGCGCCGAUUCGCAUCACAGAGGGCGCGACGGUGCAAUGGAACGACAGGGAAUUUUGUGCAUCCUUGGCAAGUGUGAUGGCGUAGAGUAAGG